rnacentral:lncRNA from 1 species
AUACAAACCCAUGGAGACACUGAAGCAAUUCAGAUUGUUCUUAUUCUAGGAAACAUUCACAAAGCUUACUAAAACUAUUCAAGAUAUGAAAAUGGAACUCCACAUCCUGAACAAUAACAUCAUGAAGAAGUCUUAAGUUCAGGAAUCAGUUUGGACUGAUGUAGAACAAAGCAUCCUGCUUGACAAACAUGUUGGAAAAGAAACAGGAAGAGUAGCAGGCUGUAAAGCAAGCUGAGAUAAGGCCCCACAGAAGCAGAUGCCACCAUGAACUCUUAGAUGAGAGAGUCCCUGCUCACAACUGUAUACCUCAACCUACUGUGCGGCAUGCAGCCAUAUUGAGAAUCCUUAACUCAUAAACUAUGCUUAUCAAAUGGCAGCAGCUAACACCUCAUGAAUCCCCUUCUCCCAUCCCUCUUUUUAAAAAAUUUUUAUUAGGUAUUUUCCUCAUUUACAUUUCCAAUGCUAUCCCAAAAGUCCCGCAUACCCUCCCCCCCACUCCCCUACCCACCCACUCCCACUUCUUGGCCCUGGCGUUCCCCUGUAUUGAAGCAUCUAAAGUUUGCAAAACCAACGGGCCUCUCUUUCCAAUGAUGGCUGACUAGGCCAUCUUCUGAUACAUAUUCAGCUAGAGUCACGAGCUCUGGGGGGGGGGGGGGUACUGGAUAGUUCAUAUUGUUGUUCCACUUAUAGGGCUGCAGACCCCUUUAGCUCCUUGGGUACUUUCUCUAUCUCCUCCAUUGGGGGCCCUGUGAUCCAUCCAAUAGCUGACUGUGAGCAUCCACUUCUGUGUUUGCUAGGGCCCGGUGUAGCCUCACAAGAGACAGCUAUAUCUGGGUCCUUUCAGCAAAAUCUUGCUAAUGUAUGCAAUGGUGUCAGAGUUUGGAGGCUGAUUAUGGGAUGGCUAGAGACAGCCAUACCUGGGGAUCCAUCGCUUCUCCCAUCCCUCUUAUCAGCAACAGUUGGUCCAUGGCCGCUUCAUGCUUCCUUAGAUACCCUGAGGUCAUUCCUUGGGGUCACACGUACUCCAGAGCUCAGCUAGACAUCCGCCAUGGCUGCAAC